ensembl:lncRNA
AACAAGUCAGCCCUCCUUAUAGGCCUCCCGGAAAAUAAAAGAGCUAUUCACCAAAAACGAUCUCGAGUGCAUUCAUCAUAAAGCGAGGUUAAAGUACUAAGACCGUAAAAACUUCGGGUUCCGCCAAAUCUUCUCAAACAUCUGACUGCCCUCUCCCGCCACCCCCUCUCCAGGACGCAGGAGCCAGCGGGGGACCUUCGGACUUCUCCAGCCGUGUUCCUGCAAGCGGAGAAUUUUCCACCCGGGCUCCAGAAGAGGCAGACCCCCAACCACCACCCCGGCCCGACCCAUCCCGCCACGGGAUCAUCUCAGCUCCGAGCCGAGCGCCUUCUGUGGGGGCAGCUAGACCGGCUCUUGUUCCUGAGGGCCAGAUCCAGCCGCUUAUUGGAUGUCUCCACCGCGAGGCCGAGCAGAGAACAGAAUUGAUUGUGGCAUCUGCCUUCCACCACCACCAGCCUGCUCCUCCCCGUGUGGUUCCCUGCUUUGAUGAGCAGACGCGGCCCUCUACUGCACUAACUUGAGUGCUUCCUCUGUCUCUCUCCUUCUCCCGACCCUACUACAUCAAGUCACUUCCACCUGAACCUACCCAGGGGGACUCUCGUCCCUUCCUAGCCUGGCCGCUCGCUUCCUUCCAGUCACUCUGCUGUCCACUUUCAACCUUCACACUUGUGGCCCGGAUCCUCUUUUUAAAAAAACACAGUUCCCCCACUUCUCUUUGAAAAAUGGUGCAAACUAUACAUCAAGGUGACUUUGUCAUCCAUACAGAUGGUGAAGUUGGGAGCAAUAAUUCUGACUGAGGAGUAGGAU